AUGGAGGACCUGGAAGGAUUGAUGAGGGGGUUGAACUUGUCGGCAGCAAAGAAGAAAGGGUUGAAGAUUGGAGAAGCUCAGAAGGGGAAGGCGGUCGACUGGGCGGCUGAUGACCCGCAAGUGGUGGGGAAACUGUUCUCGGAGAAGCCCGCCCAUGCAAGAUUCGUGGGACAAACCCUGGGAAGAAUCUGGUGUCUGAUCAAGGGGUUGGAUUGUAAGGAACUGAGAACAAAUGUCUUUCUUUUCACUUUUAGGCAGGCGUCAGGAUGGAGGAGAGCUCUCGAGGAGGGGCCAUGGUGGUUUGAUAAGGAACUACUAGUGUUGGAGGAAUUUGAUCCAGAGAAGACGAUCGAUGAAUAUGAAUUCAAUUUGAUACCCAUGUGGUUUAGGGUUUUUGGUCUACCGCUGGGCUAUAUGAACAGAGCCACAGGGGAGAAUAUUGGGGCGAAUUUCCAUGAACUAAUAGAGGUGGAUCUCGGGCGGGAUGGGAAGGUUGUAGGGAAAUCCCUCCGUGUGAAGGUCAAGCUAGACAUAACAGAACCGAUGGUGCGGGGAUUUGUCUUGGAAAGGGAAAAGAGGAAGGGAGGAACCGGGGAAGGGAUGGUGGAGGAGGAGGAUGCAGCUAAGAUGAUGAAGAAAAAGGAAUUGCUAUGGUGCUGCUUUGAGUAUGAACAUUUGCCAGACUUCUGUUAUACAUGUGGGGUCAUCGGGCGUGGCGAGAAGGUGUGUAAUAUGAAGCCGAUGCCAGGGGAGGCGCCUCAAUAUGGGGCAUGGAUGCGAGCUGAGGAUUCAAGGAAAAGGGGCGAGGAAGGGGGAAGAGCAAAGUGGCAGGGCAGUGCUACCUCUUGA
rnacentral:rRNA from 1 species